rnacentral:rRNA from 1 species
GAUCAUGGCUCAGGAUGAACGCUAGCUACAGGCUUAACACAUGCAAGUCGAGGGGCAGCAUGAACUUAGCUUGCUAAGUUUGAUGGCGACCGGCGCACGGGUGAGUAACGCGUAUCCAACCUGCCCAUCACUUGGGAAUAACCUUGCGAAAGUAAGACUAAUGCCCAAUGACAUCCCACGAAGGCAUCCGAAUGGGAUUAAAGAUUUAUCGGUGAUGGAUGGGGAUGCG